CAAUCCAGUCUGGCCUGAGCAUUUUGCUCCGGCACCUGUGCGUGGAAAACAGCUGAGCCCAGGAGGUUCCAGACCCUGGAUACCUGAGACACAUCGACUUGCUUCUUAGGUUUGGAGUGCAUAAUGAGGAGAAAUAAAAAUAGAAAGAUCUCCAGAAAGAAGCCAUGCGUUCAGAAUCAAGCUCAGAAGCUCCCAGCUCCCAGCAAGUACUCUACUACUGAACUACACCAUCUCUCCAGCCCAUGCUUACUCUUGAAUAGCCACAAAGUAUUCAAUGGUGUGGGCCUUGAAAGGAACUACCUGCUCU
ensembl:processed_transcript